rnacentral:rRNA from 1 species
CGUAGGGUGCGAGCGUUAAUCGGAAUUACUGGGCGUAAAGCGUGCGCAGGCGGUUAUAUAAGACAGAUGUGAAAUCCCCGGGCUCAACCUGGGAACUGCAUUUGUGACUGUAUAGCUAGAGUACGGCAGAGGGGGAUGGAAUUCCGCGUGUAGCAGUGAAAUGCGUAGAUAUGCGGAGGAACACCGAUGGCGAAGGCAAUCCCCUGGGCCUGUACUGACGCUCAUGCACGAAAGCGUGGGGAGCAAACAGGAUUAGAUACCCCGGUAGUCCACGCCCUAAACGAUGUCAACUGGUUGUUGGGUCUUCACUGACUCAGUAACGAAGCUAACGCGUGAAGUUGACCGCCUGGGGAGUACGGCCGCAAGGUUG